CAUGAACUGCUUCCUUCAGUCUGAGGAGAAACCUCUCGCUACCUUGGGACUGGGCCUCCUGGGAAGAUCCCAGAACUCUCUUGAGAUCCAGCUCCUUCUCUCUGCCUGUGAUGACUCAAGAUCUGAAGCUCUUCUUGGCCGGUGACGCCGCCGGGACUCCUUCCGAUCGAGUACGCGGCGGGGCCAGAGCGGCUCGGUGCUGCCCCCUGCGGGCGCGGGACGCCAGGUUCUUUCCGCUCUGAGCCAGGCGGCAGGGGUGGGGCGGGGGGCGGCCCCACCCAGGUCCCCUGCAGAGACCUCACAGAGGGGGCCCCACUCCCUGUGCCACACGCACGGGCCGCCCUGGACACAGAUAUGCACACUGGGCACUCACAACGGUUCGCACAUAGACGCGUUCCAUCUUUUGUGAACGGAGUGGGGGGGUCAUACUCUGUGUGGGGUAUUCCAAGGAGGGCGAACCAAGGACACCUGCUGUCUCUCGGGAGCUGGCCUCAGGUGGAGGCCUUCCUGGCCUGGUGUCCAGAGAGGUCCCUCAGCCUGUCAUAUCCAAGGAGCCUGUGGAUUCUGGAGUUCUCAGGACCACAUGCAGCCCCUUGUCUUUUGGUACCAGUUGGUGGGCACAGCCGGGUCUGGUUGGCUCACACAAGGCGUGGCCAUCAUCCCCAUCAACUCCUGGGGAGGGAGGCAUUGUGGAGGAGAAAGUCCCUUGAGUUGUGAAUGCCUCCUUUCACUUCCUGACAUCUCUGCUCUGAGAGGAACUUCGCACUCAGGUCAUUCAUUUAUUCGUUAACUUCUACAGUUCUCAGGCACCAUUGUUGUUUCCAUUUCUGGGGACAGGGGAGGGUCUCUGCCCUCAUCUAGAGGAGGAGACAGGCAAAUAGGUGUGGCCACAUAGGGUGGUAAGUGCUUUGAGAGUAGAGAAUUGUUUUCUUCCUCUGAACCUUGCGUUUCGCUCUGACUGUCCCAGUCAGUGGCAUCGUUACCCGCCCACCUGCUCAGCCCAGAAAAUGCUGAGUCAUCUUGCUGCCUACUCGGCUCAGGCCUCCCGGUUGGCCACCGUGUCCUGUCCUCACCCUCACCGUCUCUCUCCCGGGCCAUCACUUCAGCCCCAGGCCUGCCCUCGCCCCUGUCCAGCUUUUACACCCCCGCUGCAGUGCGCCUGGUGCCUGCAUUUGAGAAACAACCAUCGACUGUGAGAUAAUCUGUUGGGGAAGAGACACUGUCGACAAAGUUGGAAGACCAAUGGCCAACUGGGGAAACCCGUGUGUAACCCAUGUGCCACAGGCCUCCUUCCCACAUUUGCCAAAAGCUCACACAAGUUGGGAAGGAAAAGACCCCACCGGAAAACUAGGUAAAGGAUAGGAACCGUGGGUUCAUAAGAAAGAAGGAAAACAAGGAGGGACCAAGAAACUUGGGGGAGGAUGUCCAGUCUCAGUCGUGAUUAAAGAAAGGGAGCAUGAAGCAGGGGGCCUCCAGCUGUCAAAAAGACAAAACUCGGAAAACAGCAGCACCAGACAAAGCUUCCAGCCGUGAUGAGACCCAGUGCCGGCGGAGCAGGUGAGAGUGUGUAGAGCUUCCCGAGGAGACUUCGCUCUUUACUGUGAAAAAUUUGGAACGUACACAAAAGCAGGGAGAGAAUAGUGAAACAGACUGCCGGACGUCCAUUGCCCGGUGUGCUAAUUGUCCUCGUGUUGUUGCUCUUGUCCCUUCUCUCUCUCUGGCUACCAUCUGUUGUGGAGGGGACUAGAGUAUCUUCAAGCAGACUCUCUCCGUCAUUUCAGUUCGCACUGGAAGAAAAUCUGGCAGUAGCUAUCAAAGUGAACAAUGCAUUUACCCUUAAAAAAUUAAAAAAAAAAUGUUUACUCAUUUUUGAGAGACAGAGACAGGCGGAGCACGAAUGGGGGAGGGGCAGAGAGGGAGACACAGGAUCCGAAGC